rnacentral:rRNA from 1 species
UGGGGAAUAUUGGACAAUGGGGGGAACCCUGAUCCAGCCAUGCCGCGUGUGUGAAGAAGGCCUUAUGGUUGUAAAGCACUUUAAGCGAGGAGGAGGCUCUCUUGGUUAAUACCCAAGAUGAGUGGACGUUACUCGCAGAAUAAGCACCGGCUAACUCUGUGCCAGCAGCCGCGGUAAUACAGAGGGUGCGAGCGUUAAUCGGAUUUACUGGGCGUAAAGCGUGCGUAGGCGGCUUUUUAAGUCGGAUGUGAAAUCCCCGAGCUUAACUUGGGAAUUGCAUUCGAUACUGAGAAGCUAGAGUAUGGGAGAGGAUGGUAGAAUUCCAGGUGUAGCGGUGAAAUGCGUAGAGAUCUGGAGGAAUACCGAUGGCGAAGGCAGCCAUCUGGCCUAAUACUGACGCUGAGGUACGAAAGCAUGGGGAGCAAACAGG